ensembl:miRNA
ACGCUUUCCCAGUCGGGGGUCCUUGCGCGCCUGAGGUCCGGGCCACGCGGUGUGCUAUCGUCGGCGCUGCAGAGCCAGCGUCCAGGCUUCGCCAUAUCUCGUUCGGGGACACUUUGGGGCUGGGGACCGGUCCCGUGCCAAGGGA